GCAUGGCUUGUAUUGAUCUCAUACUAACGUGUCCGAUGCUUUAUGAGUGGGUUUCCCCUCAUCAGUGGAUGGCUAGUUGGUGGUGGUUGAUCUUCCAAUGGGACGACGCAUGAGUGGUGAUUAGGAUGUGCUUUCAUGUAGGCUCUGCGUAUCAUACGUUGAACUGUGUGGAGCCAACCGUUUCAGUAAUCCAUUGCGCUUGUCUUUUGCAAGUUGCAAAAAGAUUGGGUGGUUUCUGUGUUGGCUAUUGAUUUUGGUAUGCGUGAUUUGAUGGAAUCCAUUGUGAUUUGUUCUUCUGCCAUUGGCUUGUCCAGUGAAGGGGGAUGUCGUACCGAUCUCCCAUGUUCCACACAAGUUAUCCCCUUAUGGGAGUGUAUUUGUGAUGGCUCAUGGGUGGUUGUCUAUGCUCUCGGGUAUGUGAAAUAUUCGGUUGUCGUUCGGGUCUUUGACCCAUACGUAUCAUUUCUUGAGCACGUAGCUUUAAUUUGUAUGACCCUCGAGCUUGUUCCUAAGUUCACUGAGCCGUAGUGCUUGUUGUUGAUCAGGGAGAUGCCGAGGUCUAUGAGUAAUGC
rnacentral:misc_RNA from 1 species